UACGUAGGUGGCAAGCGUUGUCCGGAUUUACUGGGCGUAAAGGGCGUGCAGGCGGUUUGUUAAGUCUAGGGUGAAAGCUCCCGGCUCAACUGGGAGAGGUCCUUGGAUACUGGCAGACUUGAGGAGGGUAGAGGAGAGUGGAAUUCCCGGUGUAGUGGUGAUAUGCGUAGAUAUCGGGAGGAACACCGGUGGCGAAGGCGGGACUCUGGGCCGAUACUGACGCUGAGGAGCGAAAGCGUGGGGAGCGAACAGG
rnacentral:rRNA from 1 species